rnacentral:lncRNA from 1 species
GGGGACGUUAAAUCCGAUGCCUCGUGUAAAGAGAGUGCCACGCUCUUUGCACGUUAAGAACCCUUGCAACAACUCUUUGAGGGGUCCGUAGGUGGCUUGUUGCAAGGCAAAAUUUCUGUCCCUAUCCAAUAUACCCUAAUUUUCCAGUGGCAGUCCAAAUUUUCCCGACCAUCAUCCUAGAUGGCCUUUUUUUCAACAACCUACCUAUUGUAUGUAUUGUUUAACUUGUUCUCGUCCUGAAUAUGCAUGAAAUAUUUGCCACUGGACGUUAAGCAACUAACAAUCAAUCAA